UACGUAGGGUGCGAGCGUUGUCCGGAAUUAUUGGGCGUAAAGAGCUUGUAGGCGGUCUGUCGCGUCUGCUGUGAAAACUCGGGGCUCAACCCCGAACUUGCAGUGGGUACGGGCAGACUAGAGUGUGGUAGGGGAGACUGGAAUUCCUGGUGUAGCGGUGAAAUGCGCAGAUAUCAGGAGGAACACCGAUGGCGAAGGCAGGUCUCUGGGCCACUACUGACGCUG
rnacentral:rRNA from 1 species